CCAGUGUAGGCAGGGUUUGUUGCUGUAAGUUGGACAGGACAAAUCAAGAACCAUAUCCAUGCCAACGUGUGAUCAUUGCUUAACAGGGUAUGAAUACUGUAGCUCUUUGGACGGAAAUCCUGCUCAAGCUGAACUUCCACUCAGCUGGAGAAGAAUUCUGGACACACCAUGCAACUUUCAGAAACAGUCAGCAAAUCAAGCCACACUGUACAGAGCAGCUUAUAUCCCUUUGGAGAUUGGAGAAAGAAGGAUCCAAAACAUAUUGUCUACAAAAGAAAUAUGAUCUGUGAGAGAAAGCUUACCCCUCACCCUAGAAAUGCACAUUGCCCCUUCUGUGCCACUGUGCCCAUGUGCCAGGAGGCAAUCCUGAGCAAGAUGCCCUUCAGGAAUGCAUGUCCACCAUUACUGAUUGGCUCAUUGAUGUACCCCUUCGUGUCCGAGGAAACCCAGGAUUUCCUUGAACAGAAUUUGGUUUAUUACAUGGUUCCCAUUCUUUUUCCUUCAUUAAUACUGAUGCAUAUGGGAUUACGCUUCCAGUCAUACAGGGUUCAUUCUAGAAGGAUGCUUUGGUCUGGUGCCAUGGAUAUGUGUCAAAGCUAUUCUGCCUUCCCAAGUCUACACCUGUGUGCUUUGUGGGUUAUGUUUUUCUUUAUGCUCACUUUACUUUUUUGUAUUUGAAAUUUCCCAACAAAAAGAAAUUAGAAGUAAAAACACAA